rnacentral:lncRNA from 1 species
AGCACUAGCCAAAAUCCACACUUUGCCAAGGAAAGAAAUCAAGCAGCUCUCCAGCAAGGGCAUGAAUCAAAGGAGAGUGACGCUAGGCAUUCAGCCUAUGGCAGCACCAGAAGUAGACGUUCCAGAUCUGGUUCUAGAAGGAUGAACCAGAUACAGGAUGCUGUACUUUGACAAGACGCUGCAGCACAAAGGAGCUAGGAUACUCUAAAUAACAUGACAGCCAUGAUGCAGUGGCAAGUCAACAGGCAGUUCAGGAAGGACUGUGAGGUUGCUAUUGCCAGAAUUCCAAACCCAGAUGUUGUGGUCUAACAGCUAGACCUCCCU